CUCCAUGGCAACAGAGGCAGAAGAAGCAAGCAUCAACUGUGGCAUCAAGCAUUUAAGCUAAUUAGGAAACAAAUCAUAAACCAACCGACAUAUGAGAAAGGCGUUUCUACGUGCAUAUGAGGAAGCUUCUCUGUGUAUAUGUGGCCGAGCCGUGGGGCUGAUGCCUUGUUCUGGCUGUGCUCCAGCAGCGUCGCUGUUGAGGAAUCACAGAUUCCUAAUGGACUGGGUCAUGCGACCUGUGUGAUACCAACUGCCUGACCUCCGUCUUCACCGUGUCCCUGCCUCUUGGCUCUGCCUGUCUUGUCCGCAAGACCGGCGCCAGCUCAGUCCCUACUCUGCUACCAGAAAGGACUUCCUAGAUGAAUCAGGAUCCCACUUGCACUUCCUUUCUCCUCAUUAAA